rnacentral:ribozyme from 13 species
GAAAAAGUGGAAAAAGUGAGGCAACACCUUUCUUUUGAAACUUGAAUUAAAUUAUUUUCUUUUCUUUUCUUUUUUCCCUCACCCUUUUCUUUCUUUUGUUAUUAUCGAUACUGAGAAGAGUAGUAAGCUGCUUCUAGUUGAUGGAGAGAGUGACUAGCUCGUCUUUGAAGUUUUA